rnacentral:rRNA from 1 species
UACGGGGGGGGCAAGCGUUGUUCGGAAUUAUUGGGCGUAAAGAGCUCGUAGGCGGUGUGUCACGUCGGCCGUGAAAACCUGCAGCUUAACUGUGGGCGUGCGGUCGAUACGGGCAUCACUGGAGUUCGGCAGGGGAGACUGGAAUUCCUGGUGUAGCGGUGAAAUGCGCAGAUAUCAGGAGGAACACCGAUGGCGAAGGCAGCCUCGCU